CAAGCGUUGUCCGGAAUCACUGGGCGUAAAGCGCGCGCAGGCGGCGAUCUACGUCUGGGGUGAAAGCCCGGAGCUCAACUCCGGGACUGCCUUGGAUACGGGAUCGCUUGAGGAUUGGAGAGGCAAGGGGAAUUCCACGUGUAGCGGUGAAAUGCGUAGAUAUGUGGAGGAACACCUGUGGCGAAGGCGCCUUGCUGGCCAAUUUCUGACGCUGAGGCGCGAAAGCGUGGGGAGCAAACAGG
rnacentral:rRNA from 1 species